CCAAGCAGCAGCUUACAUGCCGGAGGCUGUGCGUGAACAGCCCAGGACUGGGGGUUCUCACAGCAGAGCAGGGUCAGGCUGGCUCCCAGAGUCUAGGAUUGGAGUGACCUAGCAGAUCACCGGUUUAGCUAACACCAGAAGAGAAUGUCACCCUUCUAUGGAUCCUUCACCUGCAGCCUGAAUUUCCUUUCCAGCACUCACUGCAAAGCACCCCCUCCAAUUGCUUGUCAGCUACUGCAGUAAUCCAGAGGGGCUGUGGCAGUAACUGGCCCAAGAUUCAGCAACAGGCACAGCCAGUAAAAGGAGGGACCACUGAGCCACUUGGAGAUCAAGCAUCCAUCUUUACCAAAGAACUCAAUGAGUUCUUCAAGGAAAAGCUGAUGGUUUCACAAACCCAGGAGAUUUUUUUAUUACAUAGCAAUCAAGACAAGCUCUGGGGAGAACCACUGUCCUAAUCAUUCUUGCCUCCUCUCAUCACUCCUCUAAUUCUGCAAUACCUCUUUUGGCAGGGGGGUGACCAGAUGCACUUUGGACUUCUGCUUUCUGUGUGACAAGAACCAGGGGAGGGGUGAAGAGACACCCCGAACACAUUAUAAAGUGCCCUUUCUCCAAAAAGCCAGCUGUAGGUCUCCCAAGGGCUUGCAGGUCCCUGUGUUGAAGCACAGUAAGGACACAUUGAGGGACUGAGAUUGGAAUAAACAAGGAGCCAUCUGCUACACAUUUUAGAAAGUCAAUCAUUUAUAAAUUGAUGGUGGUUUUUCCAUCUAUAAACAGCACAAAGGAAAAGCACAGACUUCACAAGACAGAAUAAUCACUUCUACAGCCAUUAAACUGCUUUAGCUACCCAGAUACAGGGUUAAUGAAAGUGUUCUAUUCACUGACACUGUACAGCUAAUUUAGAACAAGUACUGAAAAACAGUUCUGGGCUCCUGAACUGAAAAUUAUACUCAGCAUAUUUGGACUCAUAAAACCAUGAACACAACAGCCCUUCAUUUAAGAAGCAUUCUCCAAA